CUCAGUGGUGUAGUUGGUUCAUCACGUUCGACUGUAAUUGUCUCAGCAUUGCUGCCAUCGAAAGGUCCCUAGUUCGAUUCUGGGAGCGGAGA
rnacentral:tRNA from 1 species